UACGUAGGUGACCAGCGUUGUCCGGAUUUACUGGGCGUAAAGAGCGCGCAGGCGGUCGUUCAAGUCGAGUGUGAAAGCCCCCGGCUCAACUGGGGAGGGUCAUUCGAUACUGAUCGACUUGAAGGCAGGAGAGGGAAGUGGAAUUCCCGGUGUAGUGGUGAAAUGCGCAGAUAUCGGGAGGAACACCGGUGGCGAAGGCGGUUCUCUGGGCCUUACCUGACGCUGAGGAGCGAAAGCGUGGGGAGCGAACAGG
rnacentral:rRNA from 1 species